GACGAACGCUGGCGGCGUGCUUAACACAUGCAAGUCGAACGGAAAGGCCCUGCUUUUGUGGUGUGCUCGAGUGGCGAACGGGUGAGUAACACGUGAGUAACCUGCCCUUGACUUUGGGAUAACUUCAGGAAACUGGGGCUAAUACCGGAGAGGAGCUCCUGCUGCAUGGUGGGGGUUGGAAAGUUUCGGCGGUUGGGGAUGGACUCGCGGCUUAUCAGCUUGUUGGUGGGGUAGUGGCUUACCAAGGCUUUGACGGGUAGCCGGCCUGAGAGGGUGACCGGCCACAUUGGGACUGAGAUACGGCCCAGACUCCUACGGGAGGCAGCAGUGGGGAAUAUUGCACAAUGGGCGGAAGCCUGAUGCAGCAACGCCGCGUGCGGGAUGACGGCCUUCGGGUUGUAAACCGCUUUCGCCUGUGACGAAGCGUGAGUGACGGUAAUGUGUAAAGAAGCACCGGCUAACUACGUG
rnacentral:rRNA from 1 species